UACGUAGGGGGCGAGCGUUGUCCGGAUUUAUUGGGCGUAAAGAGCGUGUAGGCGGCCAGGUAGGUCUGCUGUGAAAACUCGAGGCUCAACCUCGAGACGUCGGCGGAAACCAUCUGGCUAGAGUCCGGAAGAGGAGAGUGGAAUUCCUGGUGUAGCGGUGAAAUGCGCAGAUAUCAGGAGGAACACCGAUGGCGAAGGCAGGUCUCUGGGGCCACUACUGACGCUGAGAAGCGAAAGCGUGGGGAGCGAACAGG
rnacentral:rRNA from 1 species